rnacentral:rRNA from 1 species
UACAGAGGUCUCAAGCGUUGUUCGGAUUCAUUGGGCGUAAAGGGUGCGUAGGCGGCGCGGUAAGUCGGGUGUGAAAUCUCGGAGCUUAACUCCGAAACUGCAUUCGAUACUGCCGUGCUUGAGGACUGGAGAGGAGACUGGAAUUUACGGUGUAGCGGUGAAAUGCGUAGAUAUCGUAAGGAAGACCAGUGGCGAAGGCGGGUCUCUGGACAGUUCCUGACGCUGAGGCACGAAGGCCAGGCGAGCAAACGGG